rnacentral:lncRNA from 1 species
CUCAGCCAGAGACCAACAUGUAGGCAAAUCAGCAAGCAAGCAAGAGUUGUCUCUCCUUCUUGGCCUGGUAAGGCUGGGGACUCUUCAGAGCCAGGCUCACCAUUCUGCCUGGCCUCAGUGGACCCACUUCACCCCCAGAGUCUGCAUUCUUUACCAUUAUUUAAACCUCUGGUGGAGAACUUGCUGAACUUGUGCUCCUGUCAUACCUGGACCCCCAAAUGUCCCAAAUCCUUGGACACCUAAGAGGACUCAUCCUGCUUACCCUCCUUCCUCUAGCAUCUAGAGAUGCUAAGACACUUGUCCAUAUUCACCCAGCCAAGCAGAGGGGAAGCAAGGAUUCAACCUUGCCUCCUGGUCUCCAAGCUCCUUUUUUAAAAAAAUACUUUUAUUUAAUUUAUUUAUUUUUAUGUGGUGCUGAGGAUUGAACCCAGUGCUUCAUGCAUGCUAGGCAAGCGUGCUACCACUGAGAGCUACAGCCCCAGCCCAUCAGCUCCUUUUUAUAGAUGUGAACUCUGAGCUUCCCUGAGAGUCACAGAGAGAUCAC